CACCGGCGGCUCGAGUGGUAACCGUUAUUAUUGGGUCUAAAGGGUCUGUAGCCGGCAGGAUAAGUCUCUUGAGAAAUCUGGCAGCUUAACUGUCAGGCUUUCAGGAGAUACUGUCUGGCUCGAGGCCGGGAGAGGUGAGAGGUACUUCAGGGGUAGGGGUGAAAUCUUGUAAUCCUUGAAGGACCACCAGUGGCGAAGGCGUCUCACCAGAACGGACCUGACGGCAAGGGACGAAAGCUAGGGGCACGAACCGGAUUAGAUACCCCCGUAGUCCCUGAGCGGG
rnacentral:rRNA from 1 species